CCUACGGGAGGCAGCAGUGAGGAAUAUUGGUCAAUGGCCGUAAGGCUGAACCAGCCAAGUAGCGUGAGGGAAGACUGCCCUAUGGGUUGUAAACCUCUUUUAUGCGGGGAUAAAGGUGUCCACGUGUGGAUGUUUGCAGGUACCGCAUGAAUAAGGACCGGCUAAUUCCGUGCCAGCAGCCGCGGUAAUACGGAAGGUCCGGGCGUUGUCCGGAUUUAUUGGGUUUAAAGGGAGGGUAGGCCGGUCUUUAAGCGUGCCGGGAAAUUUUGUGGCUCAACCAUGAGAGUGCGGCGCGAACUGGAGACCUUGAGUGCGCGGAAGGCAGGCGGAAUUCGUGGUGUAGCGGUGAAAUGCUUAGAUAUCACGAAGAACCCCGAUUGCGAAGGCAGCCUGCCGCAGCGUUACUGACGCUGAAGCUCGAAAGCGCGGGUAUCGAACAGGAUUAGAUACCCGAGUAGUC
rnacentral:rRNA from 1 species